UACGGAGGGUGCGAGCGUUGUCCGGAAUCAUUGGGCGUAAAGGGCGCGUAGGUGGCCCGGUCAGUCUUUGGUGAAAGCGCGGGGCUCAACCCUGCGUCGGCCAGGGAUACUGCCGCGGCUCGAGCACUGUAGAGGCAGGCGGAAUUCCGGGUGUAGCGGUGGAAUGCGUAGAGAUCCGGAAGAACACCGGUGGCGAAGGCGGCCCGCUGGGCAGUGGCUGACGCUGAGGCGCGACAGCGUGGGGAGCAAACAGG
rnacentral:rRNA from 1 species